rnacentral:rRNA from 1 species
UACGCAGGGGGCUAGCGUUGUUCGGAAUUACUGGGCGUAAAGCGCGCGCAGGCGGUCCUUCAAGUCAGAGGUGAAAGCCCAGAGCUCAACUCUGGAAUGGCCUUUGAGACUAGAGGACUUGGGUACGGGAGAGGUGAGUGGAAUUCCGAGUGUAGAGGUGAAAUUCGUAGAUAUUGGGAAGAACACCGGUGGCGAAGGCGGCUCACGGGCUCGUAACUGACGCUCAGGCGCGACAGCGUGGGGAUCAAACAGG